GCCCCAUGUCGCACGUGCCUGUGGGCGUCCCACGGUCCUCAGAUGCGAGGGUAGCCGUGACGGUACCUGGACGUAACACACCCAGUCGAUUUCGCGAGCCGCGCGAUAUCGAGGACGCCUUGAAGCAACGACGGUCCGGGCCUUU
rnacentral:sRNA from 1 species